rnacentral:rRNA from 1 species
GAUGAACGCUGGCGGCGUGCCUAAUACAUGCAAGUCGAGCGAACGGACGAGAAGCUUGCUUCUCUGACGUUAGCGGCGGACGGGUGAGUAACACGUGGAUAACCUACCUAUAAGACUGGGAUAACUUCGGGAAACCGGAGCUAAUACCGGAUGAUAUUUUGAACCGCAUGGUUCAAUAGUGAAAGACGGUCUUGCUGUCACUUAUAGAUGGAUCCGCGCUGCAUUAGCUAGUUGGUAAGGUAACGGCUUACCAAGGCAACGAUGCGUAGCCGACCUGAGAGGGUGAUCGGCCACACUGGAACUGAGACACGGUCCAGACUCCUACGGGAGGCAGCAGUAGGGAAUCUUCCGCAAUGGGCGAAAGCCUGACGGAGCAACGCCGCGUGAGUGAUGAAGGUCUUCGGAUCGUAAAACUCUGUUAUUAGGGAAGAACAAAUGUGUAAGUAACUAUGCACGUCUUGACGGUACCUAAUCAGAAAGCCACGGCUAACUACGUG